rnacentral:rRNA from 1 species
GCAAGUCGAACGGUAACAGUCUCUUCGGAGAGCUGACGACCGGCGCACGGGUGCGUAACGCGUAUGAAACCUACCUUAUACUGGGGGAUAGCCCGAAGAAAUUCGGAUUAAUACCCCAUAACGUGAUUGAUUGGCAUCAAUUAAUCAUUAAAACUCCGGUGGUAUAAGAUGGUCAUGCGUGACAUUAGUUUGUUGGUGAGGUAAUGGCUCACCAAGACUACGAUGUCUAGGGGGUCUGAGAGGAAGGUC